AUCAUGAAAGAGUCGGUGUGUUGCAACACAUAGGAUGUAGAUGUCUCAGUUCAAGAAGGAUAUACAAGAGAAAUGAGCAAUAUUGUGGUGAUUGAACCAUAUAGAAGAUAGUUCAAUACAAAAGAUGCAUAUACGUAAGGAGAGAUCGACGUAAUUCGGACCCAAUGGGAAAGUUUUGUUGGCCGAUUUGUGUAAGGAUGUAAUUCUUGUUUUUUUGUCUCAAUAGAAUGUAAAUUCUAGCUUAGAAU